AGGUGAUUCAUAAUCUCUUCAUCCAUUUACAUUUUGGGGAACAUAUGAGGCCAGUUACAGAGGAGGCAAUUUCGUCUUUCAAUUCUAUCUUAAAUGCUUAGAGUCUUUACUUAUCUGUUCUACACUUCUUUUUAAUUAUACUUUUCCAGUUUUACAACCUAGAACUUCCUGAUAUUGUCCAUCCUUCACUGAGAGGCAUUUGAUGAGGCACUGGCUUUCCAAAAGUUCUUUUGCACGUGCCUUUGUAAAUUAUCUAGAACUCUUCCCUUCCUAUCACCAGAGUUCCAUAUUUGGCUCUUGUUCAUUCAAGAGGGAGAUUGUGGUCUUUUACUGCAUUUGGCUGCUUGCUCAAAAGAUACUUCCUUCUUGGUUCUUAAGCACCUUGGAGAACCACACCCCAAAAACCAGCUAUGGGAUUAGCGAGCCAAGCCACUCAAGUACCACAUUGGUCACAAUAUUUUGACCAAUAUGGGACAAAGGCAUCUGAUAUUACCUUGGUUCCUAACAUUUUCACAGACAGUCUUCCAAAAUAACUUUACCUGGAGUGGGAUUGAAAGGAGGUUUUCCGGUGAAUUUGUCAUUUGAAUCUCUUUUUUGUUUGUUUCUGUUCCAAAAUUCUAGCCACUCCAUUAUCCAUCAAACUUGACCAUUUCUUCUUGAUGCCCACUGUUAAUUUUAUGAAGUUAUGUCAAUUUAAGUAUAGUUUGCUGUUUAUUUAUUUUAUUUUUAAAGUAAAGUUUUCUGUUCAUUUGUUGUCAGCAGAAUA